rnacentral:rRNA from 1 species
GACGAACGCUGGCGGCGGGCCUAAUACAUGCAAGUAGAACGCUGACGCGAUGAGCUUGCUCUUCUUGGAUGAGUUGCUGACGGGUGAGUAACGCGUAGGUAACCUGCCUUGUAUCGGGGGAUAACUAUUGGAAACGAUAGCUAAUACCGCAUAAUAAUGGCUGACACAUGUCAGUUAUUUGAAAGGGGCAAUUGCUCCACUAAAAGACGGAACUGCGUUGUAUUAGGUAGUAGGUGAGGUAACGGCUCACCCAGGGGACGAUACAUAGGCGACCUGUGGGGGUGAUCGGCCACACUGGGACUGAGACACGGCCCAGACUCCUACGGGAGGCAGCAGUAGGGAAUCUUCGGCAAUGGGGGCAACCCUGACCGAGCAACGCCGCGUGAGGGAAGAAGGUUUUCGGAUCGUAAAGCUCUGUUGUAAGUCAAGAACGAGUGUGAGAGUGGAAAGUUCACACUGUGACGGUAGCUUAACAGAAAGGGACGGCUAACUACGUG